GUACCUUCAAGCUUUGCUUGGUGUUGGGCGUUUUUGUCUCCCUCUUUCUGGGAGACUCGCCUUAAAACGAUUGGCAGCCGGCCUACUGGUUUCGGAGCGCAGCACAUCUUUUGCGCUUUGUAUCAGGAGAAAAGGACGGUAAUCCAUCAAGACGGUCUACAUUUUUUAACUU
rnacentral:misc_RNA from 1 species